AAAAAGACAAACACUAGAUCUCCGUGUCCAACUUUAACUGUCAGUCUUAUAUGAAAAUUUUUUAUAAUUUGUAUUUUUAUUAUUGGUAGAUGAUAAAACAUGAUUAAUAUUUUAUGCGUGACUUGUCUUUUUAAUUUUUUCAUAAUUUUUUCAAAUAAAACGGACGGUUAAACGUUGGAAAAAAAGGGUUUUCUUUUU
rfam:Oryza barthii chromosome 8, whole genome shotgun sequence.